rnacentral:sRNA from 1 species
GACACAUUGAUUUGAACAAAUCUUUUGACAUUUUCAGAUCCUAAAUUUGUGCGCCCAAAAUAAAGAAACAGCCAACAUGCAUGUUUUUGUUAUUUAUGUAAACAAGUAGUUGGGAGUGCCCGAAUAGAAGAUAGCCUAGACACAAUGCUGAGUUGACGAUACAAACAUUCCCGCAGAGGCUAGCCCCACACUGUAUGGGAGUUGCACUCUUCACUAACUUCGGAGCUUAUAGUCCGAUUUUUAAAAAAGAAUGUAUCAGCAUGGCAUACAGAACUGUGUAUAUACCAACCCCCAAGUCUAUACCUUCAAAAAUGUGUAGUUUCUGUUUCCAAUAUCAGAUCUAUGAUCCUGGAGUAUAUAAUCUAUAAAUGUGGUCAAAAGAAAUUUAAUAACUAUUGAUAUUUGAAGUCUCGAGCUGUGUAGAUCCCUAGGAUGUGGCUAGAUCAACUAAGUUCUUGAAGCAUAUAUAAGAAGGUUCUGGCUGUUUAAAACAAUGUUUAAAUGGAAAACUGAUCUGUUUGGCGAAGUUUUGCACUGUUAGUUGGAAGAAAUCUGGUUCGCUGUCAUUUGAUG